rnacentral:tRNA from 1 species
GCCUGGGUGGCGGAAUCGGUAGACGCAGCAGACUUAAAAUUUGCCAGCCAAAAGCUGUACGGGUUCGAGUCCCGUCCCAGGCACCA